UACAGAGGUCCCGAGCGUUGUUCGGAUUCACUGGGCGUAAAGGGUGCGUAGGUGGUGGGGUAAGUCUCGUGUGAAAGCUCGCAGCUUAACUGCGAAAAGUCACGGGAUACUAUCCGGCUAGAGGCUUGGAGGGGGGACUGGAAUACUUGGUGUAGCAGUGAAAUGCGUAGAUAUCAAGUGGAACACCAGUGGCGAAAGGCGAGUCCCUGGACAAGACCUGACACUGAGGCACGAAAGCCAGGGGAGCAAACAGG
rnacentral:rRNA from 1 species